rnacentral:rRNA from 1 species
AUUGAACGCUGGCGGCAGGCUUAAUACAUGCAAGUCGAACGAGUGGCGGACGGGUGAGUAAUGUCUGGGAAUCUAGCUUAUGGAGGGGGAUAACUACGGGAAACUGUAGCUAAUACCGCAUACCAUCAGAUGUGCCCAGAUGGGAUUAGCUAGUAGGUGGGGUAACGGCUCAACUAGGCGACGAUCCCUAGCUGGUCUGAGAGGAUGACCAGCCACACUGGAACUGAGACACGGUCCAGACUCCUACGGGAGGCAGCAGUGGGGAAUAGUGCACAAUGGGCGCAAGCCUGAUGCAGCCAUGCCGCGUGUGUGAAGAAGGCCUUCGGGUUGUAAAGCACUUUCAGCGGGGAGGCGUUACCCGCAGAAGAAGCACCGGCUAACUCCGUGCCAGCAGCCGCGGUAAUAC